CAUCCGGCGCAGCGAGGCGUCGGUGAGGAAGACGGAGUGGAGGUGGAUGACCUCGAGCAUGGCAACCAUGGCGUUGUUGACGGCCCUGAGGUUGAGCCCACGCACCGACAGGCGUGCGAGCAGCGGGGACCCCACGGGAACUGCAGGGUGAGCAUGCUCGGGCGGCGCGUGCCACCUCGCCUGGCUGUCGUCGAUGCAGAGGUGCAGGUCCUCGCCCCUCCCGCCCACUCGGCCUGCCCGCUCCUGGAUCCACGCUCCUCGCUCUCGGCGCCGACAGGUGGAUUCCCCGCUUGAGCGGCUAGGCGAGGUAGGCUCCGGCGGUUGGUGGGGGUAGGGGGCGGGCACGGCGGGAUGGGCGGCCAUCACGCGGGGAGCGGGCGAGGUUUGGGGGCUGGGUGUCGCGGGGACAGAGGCAGGCGGGGGCAUGGGCUAGUGUGGACGCCUUCGUUGUCUCUUCAACGUCGGCGCUGGAGACGGUGGCAGAGGGGCGGAGUCCAACGCAGACGCGAGGUCGAGCACAAGGAAUGGCUAGCAACACCAGCGCAAGCCUGGAGCGUGUAGAAGCCGGUGGAGGAAGAGAAGGAGGCGACAUACUUGACCUCGUCCAAGCUCACCUCCACGGAAAUUUAGAUCUAACCGACUCUCUCCCGGUGCUCGUUCAUCCUCCAUGUCCCGCCGCUGUGAAAGCCAGGCGCUCGAUGUCGUCAGGGAGCAGGCUGGAGAAGGUGUCGUAGGAGAGGUUGAGGGAUCGGUUGGUGUCGUAGGAGGCAGGGCGAGCGUGGAUCUAUGGAUCGGCGUUUAUGGCGGAUAGGCGGAUCCGCGGCAUCCGCUUGCGCGUUGAUGGCGAGGAGAGGGUGGGGGAUCUGCGGCGCAGGCAUGCAGUGCGCGUUGAUGGCGGAGAGCAGAGGGCGCGUGCGCGUUGAUGGCGGGGAGCAGAGGGGAGGAAGGUGGGGGAUCCGCGGCGCGUUGACGGCAGAACCGUGCACCAAAAAGUUUGUGGACGUCUACAAUAGUGUCUUAUGUAGUAGUAGAGAUAUAUAUCUAUUACUACUACUUAAGAGAAUAGUGUAGGCGUCCACACAAAACCUUGGUGCACGGUUCUGCCAGCUGAUCCGCCCCACCCUCCUCCAUCGCAGGCAACGCAGGCUCCGGUCCUCCCUCCCUCCACCCCGGCUGCCGCCGACCGCGCGCUACCCUCGCGACCCCGUUCAUCCCGCCGCCGUCACGCACGGACUACCUCCAGGAUGCUCGGCCCUAACCGCGCCCUACCUCCCUCCCCCAACCCCGUUCAUCUCGCCCCCGUUCAUCCCGUGAACCCAUCCCCGCGGUCCCCUCGCUACCCAUCCAUCUCGCCGUCGUCCUCGCCCGCCCUGCCUCCCACGAUGGGGAACCCCAUCCUCGACCUUUCUCAGUCCCUGGCCACGCCAGCAGCGCCUCCCAGAUUCUCCCCCGUUCAUCCCGCCCCCCGCCCGUGAUCCCCUCCCCGCGCAAGAUCUCGCCCCAUCUCCCAGAUCCUUCCCCGGCUGCAAGGAUCUAACGAAGGCAUCCACAGUGACCCCGUCGCCGCCGCUGCUCCCGCUCCGCACCGGCUUCCCGCGCCUCGCCGUCGUGGCCCCCGUCGCCGCCGCUGUCGACGUCGCGCUGGCCGAGGUCGCGUGCCGCGUGCUCGCCGGCCUCUCGUGCUGCUGCAGAGGCGGCUGAGACAACGAGGCCACUGCCAGCACGCCGGCGUCCGUGACGGCGCGCCCGGGGUGGCGGUGGGAGGGGGAAGCCCAACGUCGCUGAACAGGCUGUAGGCAAGCUCGAGCCGUUUCCAGCAUCGGCAUGGUGUUCGCGACUGCCAACGCCUCUUCUUCAGCCACCACAUUAGUCAGAAAUGUAAAUCAGUUGAAGAGUGUGCUAAAGGUAUCUGUAAAAUUUACAUUAGCAUAUAACAAAAUCAGGUCAUUUGAGACUUAAACACUUAUGCUACCUCCUUUCAUAUAUCGCUUCAUUGGAUUUAUUAUGGCAAAAAUAAAAUGAAGGUAGAAGACAAAUUGUUACAUGGAAACAGGAUGAUAAAGAAUUUGCACAAGCAACCGCUAAUGAUAAGAAGAGCUAUGAGUACUCCAACUUGAGCUUUGAAAUGCAUAAUAGAAUAUAAUCGAAGAUGUCAAAUUGAUAACCUUUCCCUUGUUUUAUGGCUUCUUCACUGUCACACAUAUCCCAACUAUUUCUGUCAAAAAUCUUCCCACUUGAAACAGCUUCAGCUAGAGCGGUCUUUAUGGCAUCAGCAUGAGCAGAUUUAUCCACUGAACUUUCACUGAGAUGUAAUGGUGAAACAGGCCCUGCUGAUCAGAGUUGGUCAUCAUAUUUAUGUUGUUUGAUAAUGGAUAGUGGAUGCAUUACGGAACAGCAGCAAUCUGGAUUUAGUGUGCAAACCCCAGAUUUAAUACCUUCAUCUUCAUCGAGCAUAGGGUGGUAAGGUGUCUUAGGCUCAGUGAUCUUCUCUCUUUCUGGUUUGUUUGACUCAAUGUCAUUUAAAUUCUCCUCAUUCCAUUUGACAUGGCCCCUGGAACACAUCAACUGUGGUAUUUUUGCAGGGCAAACCAUUAUGUCAGAAAAAGAAGUUGAGACAGCACCACUAACCUUGCCUUCUUGGGUUCUCUAGCUUUCAUUGUGUCCUGACAAAUGCACGGCAGCUCAAGAAACACAGCCUCAGAAUCUGCAACGGGUUACCAGGAAAACAUCGUGCAAAGGGAAGUCAGUAUAAUGUAUCACAGGCAUCUUGGGAUGAUCAAAACCCUGUACAUCACUAUUUACCGAAACCUACAUAACUCCACAAGCCCACAUCAACCGACAGAUACUAAAAUCAUUUGUUGAACAGAUACUAAAACCAUUAGAUAAGGCCUGUCAAACAAGAUGGUAUGAUACUAAAACCAUUAGAUAAGGCCUGUCAAACAAGAUGGUAUGAUAAAGUGUUACUGAUAUAAUGAAAUCGAGAAGGCAUUACUGAUAUCCCAGAGAAGAGAUCAAGUAAACAAAUGCAAAAAAAGAACCAUGCAGAAACAUUAAAAGGAUAUCCAAGUAAUACUAACUAUCUGAUACCCGCUAAAUGAUUCCUAUGUAAAUGUGUUUCAUUCUCUUGUAAAAAGAACCCACAAACCCACAAAAAGAACCCACAAAUCCAAGAGAAUGUAAAUGAUUCCUUUUAUAUAUCCAAUGAAAAAGAACCAUGUAGAAACAUUAAAAGGAUAUCCAAGUAAUACUAACAUUAAAAUGGAAGCAUGACUACUGUAAAUGUAUUUCAUUCUCUUGGAUUUUCCCUGUGUCCUACCGCUGCAAACAUGUGGGAGUGCUUUCGAGGAAUGUGUGUGUGCUAUGUUCGAAUCGGCCAGGUGGGGAACAUGGUUAGGGUGUUGCAGGAACAGCAGGGAACUCGAAUCCCUGGCCAUGGGCACAAGCAUGGCCACCACUCAGUACACAUUAGUAGUCUAGAGUGAUGGAUGCUCUCGAUUAUAUGUUCACUUUGUUUUGCAAUUAACUGAUAUUCACUUUGUUUUGCAAUUAGCUGAUUAUAUUUCCAAGUGAACAUAUAGUCCAGUUAAUUUAUUUCUCACAGUUUUGCUAGUGAGUGAUAUCGUCAGACCAUCCAACCUACAACUUACCAUGGUUCAGAUAGUAGCUGACCACAUUACCACCUAACAGUAGCUUCAGAUAGUAGCUGGUUGAGCCAUGGUUUUACACCAUAGGAAUCAUUUACACAAAACAAUCAUUAAUAAUCAUUUACACAAAAUAAUCAUUUACACAAAAUUGAUAACAACAUAAUCAAUUUGUGUAAACGAAAGUAGCAGCCAACAUAGGAAUCAUUUACACCAUGCUCUACACAUCUGUGAAACAGAUAUUUCAUGUAACCAAACCAAUUGUGCUAGGAGUGGAUUUGUGGGUGCUUUUUAGCUGUAUGACAAGUACCUCGAGAGCAACUGACACAAAAUAGUUUAUAUACAAGAGCAAGCCGAGAGACUAAAAAGAGCACAGUAGAGACUAAACUAUACGCCUAUACUGUAGUAACAAGGAGCACUUUCAGGGCUAGUUAAUGUAAAACCGAAGGGCACAUAACUAUGACGUGGGUAUAUGCUGACCUUGAUAGGAGCAGUGCAAAGCGCUGGAGGAGACUAUCUCGUAAUGCUUGGUCGCGACAGAUGCCACACGACGCUUGCAGCCGCAACACCAUUAACAAACCUGGCCACAACCAUUCCCACAUGUAGUGCCUUUGUUGGUUCCCUCCCUCUGUUAAAUUAGAAACAACCUGGCUGGAUAUGACAGUACCUCUCGUUUGAUCAAGCUAAUCCAAAGUGUGAUUAGUUUCAUUGGAAAAAAAUAAAUGCAGACAAGCUGAAUUGCUAAUUACAUACCAUAUAAUCGUUAAUGAUUAUCCAUGGGAUCUUUUCGGCUGAUCACCCAGUUUAGAAUGACACACUGCUAUUCUCCGUCUCGAUCCAUGAUCUAUCUCAUAGCCUAGAGAGCCCAAGGUGUUCAGAGAUAUGCCUGUUUGAACCUGCGAUUGCACUAAGCCGAAAGUUCACCAUCAUUUACCAAGUAAAAAAUCUUGGAUAAAAAAUGGAACGAAAUUAAACCAUACAAUUAUCGACCUUGUCUAUCACUCUCUAGCAGUCACAAAAGCCUUCUAUGUAAAUAGAAAGGAGUACUGGGGGAUUUAUUAGGAUAAGGCAUAUGCAUAAUGUGUGAGUUGAUGAUAAUUGAUAUUUGAUAAGAACAAGGCGCUCUAACCGUCUAUGCACUACUUACCGACCACUCUUAAUAUACAAGUCAAACUCAUUGGCAUGGCUUCAAAGGAAGUUGUGGCGGUGACCGAUGACCAUCAAGAAUGCAAUUUAGCAAGAUAUUCCUUCGUUUAUUUCUAAAGUGACGCCCUACAGAACCAUGAUUUCCAAUAAAAGGAAGUCUGUCUAAGUUCCCACCAUCAAUGGCAGCCUAAGUGGACGGCUAAAAGAAUUGUUUCCCCAGCCAUUGUACCAAAAGGUUGGAUUAGGCCUCUUCUGCCAUCUCUUAUUGGCCUGCCAAGCUUCUCCAAAUAUGGCCUUCGCACUCUUGCUCGCCCCCUACAGCCCUUACCAUAAUUUUCAUACUUGAAUACAAGCUUCUUCCAAAUACUAUCAUCUAAUGCAAGAUUCCUCAUUUCCUUGCACGUGCACUCAACCUUUGCAAGAUCAACCCCAGGUAAAAAAUGCAAUACCUUAGUCUUAAGAUCAGCAGGCAAAGCCAUCAAGCAUGGCGUGGCAAACGCAAAUAAUUCAGUUGGCACAGUGAUACCAUUAGUGGCAGGCAAAUCUCAUCCGUCGGCGCUCUCCACAGAUCAUGAACUCCCUUCUCAUGCACUUCACUCAGAUAAAGUAAAGGCUCAAGCCCGUGCACAUACUACCCAUAAACUAUCACGAAAUUUGGCCAUCAAGGAGUCAUUCAGCACCACCACCUUCCGCUCGAUUUCACAGAGAUGCCUCUAGUACCGGUCACGCCCUAGCCCAUGAUUUAUCAUCGUAUACUAUUUCUUCAUUAGAUUGUUCGCUACAUCUACUGAUUGAGCGUAUUGAUAUCGAGUGAAGUGAUAGCCUGCCACUCGCUGAAGCGGAAGGAGCAGAGGCAGGGCGUGACCGGUACCAGGACCCACAGCUCGGUGGUGUGGAUGUAGUCGACGACGGUGAAGCUCGUGAGGCUGCGCACCCCGACAUUAGUGAAGUUGACGCGGCCAGGCGACAGCAGUAGCGGAGGUCAAGGUUCCGGAGGUAGGGGCAGACGGCGACCAUCCGGCGCAGCGAGGCGUCGGUGAGGAAGACGGAGUGGAGGUGGAUGACCUCGAGCAUGGCAACCAUGGCGUUGUUGACGGCCCUGAGGUUGAGCCCACGCACCGACAGGCGUGCGAGCAGCGGGGACCCCACGGGAACUGCAGGGUGAGCAUGCUCGGGCGGCGCGUGCCACCUCGCCUGGCUGUCGUCGAUGCAGAGGUGCAGGUCCUCGCCCCCUCCCGCCCACUCGGCCUGCCCGCUCC
rnacentral:lncRNA from 1 species